AGAUGAACCAGGGCCAACGGAGGAAGGCUGCCUGCUGACAGCUGCCAUUUCCACAGACUCACUGGGCCAAAGUGAUAGCCAACACUGAGAAGAAGAAUCCAGUGUCCAGAUUUUUCAAAGGGCUGCAGAAGUCUUGUUCUGCUGGAUAUAUAUUUUUAAGUUAGAGCUUGUUGAACAACAGAAGAUUAUAGGACCAGCCAGAGACUCAAGGAGAGCCAAUGGGGGUAUUAUGUUUUUGGAUUUAGCUAACCACUGACUGGAGGAACUGAGACAGCAUACAGUGGCAAAGCCUUUGACAAAUAUUCAGUCGGCACUACCUUCACAGAAAUCAUGCACGGAGAUGCCAUGGCAACUGCCGCAUUCUGCACAGUCACACACGAAAUCAACACGCUUAAAUAACUGUAACUCACGCCCACGCUGUUCUAAGAAGGACACAUCUUCUGGAAUAUUCUGUCCAAAAUUCAUAACCCGAGUUUGAUCAUGAAGAAAGAUCUCCCAACCCACGCUACAAAAUAACCGGAGGGCUGACAAGAGAAAGAAGACAGAAUUAGGUCAUUCCCUCUUGAUGACAGAACUAUAACAAGUGACAAAGUGAAAUUAGCUUCUCUUGCAAAAUGAAUAAGCAUGAUUUUUCUGUGGUCAUUUUCAC
rnacentral:lncRNA from 1 species